rnacentral:lncRNA from 1 species
UUUCCACAGUGCCUACCACUGCGUUUUGUUUACAGUGAGAAUCUCAAUGUUGUUCACGUCCUGGCUCUCCAAGCUGAUAGGGAACAUCUUUAGAGUAAUGACAUUGAAACAGCCGUGAUAUUUGUAUUAUGUCCACAUAAACACAAAAAGCCAAUCAGGUAUUCCCUUGAAUACCCUUGAAGUGAAUUAGCAAUUAGCUAUGUGCAUUGCUUAAUAUUAAAAUUAUAGCAAUCUCCAUAACCAAACGACAGGAAAUUAUGUGGAAUCUUACCCUGGAGAGCGUGUUACCAGAAGAACUUAGCUGGGAAUCAGGAACUUCAGGUCUGUGUCCUGGUGGAUCUGUUUCUAGCUUCCCUGUAAAUCUCCAGGCAGCAUUUUCCUCAUCUGUAUGUAAUGAAUGUAAAAUCUGAUCUCAAAGAUCAUUUUUUGAAUCUUAAAUGCACUCAUCAGGGGACAGACCAAAUCACUGUAGCACAGGAACUUAAAUCUAGCUGGAGGAAAAUUCCCUGGACAAUUGAAUAAACAACUGUGGUUGUUACCUUGUAGAUACAGGGAAUUUAAUGUCUGUUUUCAGCCUUUUUGUUCAGUUGGUGAUAGCUCAGGCAGAUGAUGCUGUAUCAUUAACUUCCCUAGAUAAUCACAUCACAGAUUUUAUGGCCAAAAAUAUAUUUUAAGGUCCCUCCUUUAAAUGAUUGUUUUUAUUUUUAAACUGUCAAUGUUGUUUCAAAUAAUCAUGUCCUUGUCAAGUUCCUGAGGUUUUGAACAAAUUACAGAUAAAAGUUGGAAUAUUUUAUUCCUGAAAAGUGUAUAUACAUAUAUGUCAUGUGUAUUUGUCCUAGUUGAUUAGAAAAAGAAUGAAAUAUUACAUGGCAGAACACAAAAUGAAUUGAUAAGUUUUUUGUAUUUUUAGUUAAAUUUGUAAUAUGUCAGACAAGAAUAUCAUACAAUUCUAUGUUGUAUCUUUGAAAAAUGGAGUUGGGUAACUCACUUGUGUACAUUUUAAUUGAGUGAUUUGAGAAAGAAACUGGAUGCUUUCAAAAGUAUUUUGAAAUGUUCCAAAUAUAGCUUUUGCCUUUUGUGAAUGUUGGAGAAAUAUCUUUAAAAAUGUGUUUUAAAAAUAU